ACCAGACUCCUACGGGAGGCAGCAGUGGGGAAUAUUGGGCAAUGGGCGCAAGCCUGACCCAGCAACGCCGCGUGAAGGAAGAAGGCUUUCGGGUUGUAAACUUCUUUUGUCAGGGACGAAGCAAGUGACGGUACCUGACGAAUAAGCCACGGCUAACUACGUGCCAGCAGCCGCGGUAAUACGUAGGUGGCAAGCGUUAUCCGGAUUUAUUGGGUGUAAAGGGCGUGUAGGCGGGAAUGCAAGUCAGAUGUGAAAACUAUGGGCUCAACCCAUAGCCUGCAUUUGAAACUGUAUUUCUUGAGUGCUGGAGAGGCAAUCGGAAUUCCGUGUGUAGCGGUGAAAUGCGUAGAUAUACGGAGGAACACCGGUGGCGAAGGCGGCCUGCUGGACUGCAACUGACGUUGAGGCCCGAAAGCGUGGGGAGCAAACAGGAUUAGAUACCCCGGUAGU
rnacentral:rRNA from 1 species